rnacentral:lncRNA from 1 species
UCCAAAAAUCUGCAAGGAACAAAACCAGAAGCUAAAUGAAACCAUUUCCUAUACUACUAGAAAAGAUACAUCACGGAAAGGACCAUCCUGACGGGAAAAGGAGAACCCAUGCAUCCCUUUUUUCUUUCUCUCCGUGAAAAUUAGAUGAUGUAACCAGGCAGGUGUCUCCCUAAAGGACAGAUCCUGGCUUUAAUUCAUAAAUCCACCUCAAAUGUUUUUGAGGCUGGCAGGGAAAGACACCUCGCUGAAGAGACUUUUUAUCUUGCUAGACCCAUUGGACCACAAUGAAGACGUCCCUUGCAGGAAUACAAGUGGGAUAUCUCUCAUGGUUUGCUGCAAAACCAAAUUUGAUUAAAAAUUAUGCCGAAUGAGUUUCAACUUUUGUUACCACUUUCUAGAUAUGUCCUUAAGAAAGAAGCAAAGCAACAUCUCACUGUGGCCAGUCCUGUGCAAACAGGGAAAGUGGUACGAGAGGGAUGGAGACUUCAUGGAGACCUCUGUAGCAUCAGCUUCCAGAAUGAGUUAAGUCCUGUGUCAAGCCUUCAGCAGUGUAAAGGUUUUGAGACUCCGUACUUAGGAAAGCAGAUGAAUUUGGUGUUUCUCACCAUUUUUAAGAAAUACUUGUUCAGGAAAUUGUAAUCUCUCAAUAUUUUGAGAAUUUAGGACCCAGUCCAAUUUCUGCAUUCUGCAUCAACCUCACCUUCAAGACUCUGGUCGGCUUCUGAAAAAUCGUAUUUUUCAGCAGAGGAUUUAUUUCAAAGGUUACUGUAACAGCUGUCAAAUAGCAGUGACAAAAUGUAGUUUCGAGCUUUUAUUACUUGUGUAUGUGUUUGCAUUUCUCCUUAAUUGCAGCAAAACAGAUGUCAAUUUUUUUCAGAGUGGGAGACAAACCAGAAGGGUCCUAAAUAUUUUCCUACAGGAAUGGUAAUUUGAACACAAUAGCAUUUUCCUAGCACAUGAAAUGCAGAGAGUGAGAUGAUUGAUAAUCCUUUUUCUAUUCAAAAGUGGUGAUUGCAAAACUGAGUAGAAGCCUCAAAUUAAUAGCAAAGGCUGUCAGUAUCACUGGUUAUAUCCAGUUUAUUUUUAAAGCAUCAAAGGGAAACUGUUCACAUAUUCUAUGUAGAUUGAAAAAAAAAAAUUAAAAGAUUAUAAUCUUAUUUACCAUCAAAGACUGGAGGAGCAGCGGAAAAGGAAGGCCUUGUAUAAAUCAAUAUGGACAUUGAUACAUUUAUUUCCUGAUUAAAUACACUUUUUAUUUGGAAGAGCUGUAGCACACAAAACAAUAAAGGGGAAAUACUGAUUCAUCAAUACUGAU